UACGUAGGGCGCAAGCGUUGUCCGGAAUUAUUGGGCGUAAAGAGCUCGUAGGCGGCUUGUCACGUCGGAUGUGAAAGCCCGAGGCUUAACCUCGGGUCUGCAUUCGAUACGGGCUAGCUAGAGUGUGGUAGGGGAGAUCGGAAUUCCUGGUGUAGCGGUGAAAUGCGCAGAUAUCAGGAGGAACACCGGUGGCGAAGGCGCACAUCUGGCCCGAUACUGACGCUGAGGCGCGAAAGCUAGGGGAGCAAACAGG
rnacentral:rRNA from 1 species